AGACAGAGACAGAGACAGAGACAGAGACAGAGGCAGAGACAGAGGCAGAGACAGAGACACACAGAGACAGAGACAGAGACAGAGACAGAGACAGAGACAGAGACAGAGACAGAGGCAGAGACAGAGGCAGAGACAGAGACAGAGACAGAGGCAGAGACAGAGACACACAGAGGCAGAGACAGAGGCAGAGACAGAGACAGAGACAGAGACAGAGACACACAGAGACAGAGACAGAGACACACAGAGACAGAGGCAGAGGCAGAGGCAGAGGCAGAGGCAGAGACAGAGACAGAGACAGAGACAGAGACAGAGACAGAGACAGAGACAGAGACAGAGGCAGAGGCAGAGGCAGAGGCAGAGGCAGAGACAGAGGCAGAGACAGAGGCAGAGACACACAGAGGCAGAGCGCUGCUGCUGCUGUUGGGGUGGGUUGACCUGUCUGUCUGUCUGUCUGUCUGUCUGUCUGUGGAGAUGAUGUGUGGACCUGUCUGUCUGUCUGUCUGUCUGUCUGUCUGUCUGCCUGUAGAGAUGAUGUGUGGACCUGUCUGUCUGUCUGUCUGUCUGUCUGUCUGCCUGUAGAGAUGAUGUGUGGACCUGUCUGUCUGUCUGUCUGUCUGUCUGUCUGUCUGUCUGUGGAGAUGAUGUGUGGACCUGUCUGUCUG
ensembl:lncRNA